GAUGAACGCUGGCGGCAUGCCUAACACAUGCAAGUCGAACGGAGCUAUUAGACGGAAGCCUUCGGGCGGAAGAUUAAUAGCUUAGUGGCGGACGGGUGAGUAACGCGUGAGUAACCUGCCUCUCAGAGGGGGAUAACGUUCUGAAAAGAACGCUAAUACCGCAUAUAAUCAAGAAACCGCAUGAUUUUUUGAUGAAAGGAGCAAUCCGCUGAGAGAUGGACUCGCGUCUGAUUAGCUAGAUGGUGGGGUAACGGCCUACCAUGGCGACGAUCAGUAGCCGGACUGAGAGGUUGAACGGCCACAUUGGGACUGAGACACGGCCCAGACUCCUACGGGAGGCAGCAGUGGGGGAUAUUGCGCAAUGGGGGAAACCCUGACGCAGCAAUGCCGCGUGAAGGAAGAAGGUUUUCGGAUUGUAAACUUCUUUUGUUAAGGA
rnacentral:rRNA from 1 species